rnacentral:rRNA from 1 species
UACGUAGGUGGCAAGCGUUGUCCGGAAUUAUUGGGCGUAAAGCGCGCGCAGGUGGUUUCUUAAGUCUGAUGUGAAAGCCCACGGCUCAACCGUGGAGGGUCAUUGGAAACUGGGGAACUUGAGUGCAGAAGAGGAAAGUGGAAUUCCAAGUGUAGCGGUGAAAUGCGUAGAGAUUUGGAGGAACACCAGUGGCGAAGGCGACUUUCUGGGCUAUAACUGACGCUCAUGCACGAAAGCGUGGGGAGCAAACAGG